rnacentral:rRNA from 1 species
GACAGAGGGGGCAAGCGUUGCUCGGAAUUACUGGGCGUAAAGGGCGCGUAGGCGGGAUGGCAAGUCGGUCGUGAAAUCCUUCGGCUCAACCGAAGAACGUCGGCCGAUACUGCCGUUCUUGAGGGAUGCAGAGGAGAUUGGAAUUCCCGGUGUAGCGGUGAAAUGUGUAGAGAUCGGGAGGAACACCGGUGGCGAAGGCGGGUCUCUGGGCAUCUCCUGACGCUGAGGCGCGAAAGCGUGGGGAGCAAACGGG